UUAUGUUUAGACACUUAACGUUAGAUAAGUUAAUGCACUAAACGUACGAUUCCGGUGCGGGAAAGCGUACGGAGUGAGAGAAUGAUAAAGUUUAAUUGCCCCCUGAGUUCCACUUUAAAAAGUAUUUGUCUCGUGUUCUUUGCAUGACAAUCGUGAAGGCAGAGGAAGUACAAACUUUGCAGCUCAUGCUAGCAAGUAGCCUGUGGAGCUAGCAAUGAACCGUUGAGCAUACUGUUCUAUUUUACCUUUGGAUUAUUACUGUGUUCUGCUAAUGAUGAUGCAAUUAACACAUGCGGUGUUAACACAUGCAAACCACAGCAUGGACUGGAGUAUAUCAGCCGAACAGAGUCAACAACUUGACCAGCAGCACUUCGCUCAUUUGCAUGGAGAUGGGAAUCAGUGUGAUAAGCUGCUGAAGCAGACCCCCAUGAAGCAGACCCAGAGAGACAGCCUCACAGUGGAAACUGUGAUAGGGACAAGGCCAUCAAAAAGGCCAAAGGCAACAAAAACAAAAAAAAACAUCUUAUUAUUAGUUGCUGUUUUGUGAAUUAUUAUUAUUUUUUAUUAAUCUGACUGAAAAACAAACACAAAGUCACAUUACCAUUGAAGGAAAUUUUUCUGGGUACAAGGCAUGCACACACACGCACAAAUACACAGGAAGGUGUUGUUCUUGGUAAAAAAAAAUGAAACAAAAAACAUUUUAAACAAAACUGAAUAAAAUAGAAGAUAAAUGAGAA